rnacentral:lncRNA from 1 species
GGGUUACGAGUUUUAAAGAUUAACCUAAGUUUAUGAGUUUUGUUUGGAUUUUCUUUUUAUUUUUUCUUUUUUUUAAGAUUUUUUUUAAUUUUAUCCUUCGAUAUUUAUUCAAUUGGAGAUUGGGCUCUAUUAUUUUUAUUAAUAUUUUUAUAGAUUUUUUUCACUAAUCUGAAAAAUAACCCUAGUUAUCUCAGGGGUUUUUUUAUUGUUGUUUUUUGUUGUAUUUACUUUGAUAAAUAUUUUUUG